rnacentral:rRNA from 1 species
AUACGUAGGUGGCAAGCGUUGUCCGGAAUUAUUGGGCGUAAAGCGCGCGCAGGCGGUCCUUUAAGUCUGAUGUGAAAGCCCACGGCUCAACCGUGGAGGGUCAUUGGAAACUGGGGGACUUGAGUGCAGAAGAGGAAAGUGGAAUUCCAAGGGUAGCGGUGAAAUGCGUAGAGAUUUGGAGGAACACCAGGGGGGAAGGCGGCUUUCUGGGUCGUAACUGGCGGUGGGGCGCGAAAGCGUGGGGAGCAAACAGGAUUAGAUACCCUGGUAGUCCACGCCGUAAACGAUGAGUGCUAAGUGUUAGGGGGUUUCCGCCCCUUAGUGCUGCAGCUAACGCAUUAAGCACUCCGCCUGGGGAGUACGGUCGCAAGACUGAAACUCAAAGGAAUUGACGGGG